CCUACGGGAGGCAGCAGUGAGGAAUAUUGGUCAAUGGUCGGGAGACUGAACCAGCCAAGCCGCGUGAGGGAGGAAGGUACAGAGUAUCGUAAACCUCUUUUGUCAGGGAACAAAGGCGGGGACGUGUCCCCUGAUGAGUGUACCUGAAGAACAAGCAUCGGCUAACUCCGUGCCAGCAGCCGCGGUAAUACGGAGGAUGCGAGCGUUAUCCGGAUUUAUUGGGUUUAAAGGGUGCGCAGGCGGUCUGUUAAGUCAGCGGUCAAAGCCCGGGGCUCAACCCCGGCCCGCCGUUGAAACUGGCAGUCUCGAGUGGGAGAGAAGUAGGCGGAAUGCGCGGUGUAGCGGUGAAAUGCAUAGAUAUCGCGCAGAACUCCGAUUGCGAAGGCAGCAUGCCGGCUCCACACUGACGCUGAGGCACGAAAGCGUGGGUAUCGAACAGGAUUAGAUACCCUGGUAGUC
rnacentral:rRNA from 1 species